UACAGGGGGUGCAAGCGUUGUUCGGAAUUAUUGGGCGUAAAGCGCGUGUAGGCGGGCCACUAAGUCUGGUGUGAAAUCCCUCGGCUUAACCGAGGACGUGCAUUGGAUACUGGUGGCCUUGAGUCCUGGAGAGGGUAGCGGAAUUCCCAGUGUAGAGGUGAAAUUCGUAGAUAUUGGGAGGAACACCGGUGGCGAAGGCGGCUACCUGGACAGUGACUGACGCUGAGACGCGAAAGCAUGGGUAGCAAACAGG
rnacentral:rRNA from 1 species